rnacentral:lncRNA from 1 species
UUUCUCUCACCUCAAUCCGAUUUCUUUGCUCUCUCAAAAAAGAAAUCCAUAAAAUCUCAUCUCUCUUUCAAAUUCAUAGUUUCUCUCAUCCCGAUUUUUCACUCAUCAUCUAAGAUCAAAUCCGCCGUCUCUCUCACACUAAUCAACCAAUCGGAUCCAUCUACCUAGGUAUUUAGUUUGUACAUGAGAGCUAGAGAGAGGCAGAGCCAGUAUCGUGUCCGCUGCUUCUUUUCCAACCGUCCACCAUUACCUUCGUUGCACUGUUGUCUACAGCAUUAGUUCUUUAGCCUUUACUGUCGUCGUCCUGGCUUUGGCCGGAAUCAUUGCCCCGUGAGCUGCCCCAAGCUGCCAUCGAAAACCCUCAAAACAAGUUUUUUUGGUUGAUUUUUUGAGGUUUGGUUUUUAAGUGUUAUUUUUCUAUGGGUACCCUAAUUUUUUCUUGUUUGGUUAUAGGUGUUGUUGGCUUAUUUUGAGCUCUACACUCUUUGCUAGG